rnacentral:rRNA from 1 species
UACAGAGGUCUCAAGCGUUGUUCGGAUUCAUUGGGCGUAAAGGGUGCGUAGGCGGCGCGGUAAGUCGGGUGUGAAAUCUCGGGGCUUAACCCUGGGCUUGCAGUGGAUACGGGCAGACUAGAGGCAGGUAGGGGAGAAUGGAAUUCCCGGUGUAGCGGUGAAAUGCGCAGAUAUCGGGAGGAACACCGGUGGCGAAGGCGGUUCUCUGGGCCUGACCUGACGCUGAGGAGCGAAAGCGUGGGGAGCGAACAGG